CUUAACUACCACAACCGCNCAACCUCUNANGGCCCUGUAUAGUUGGUUUUAGGUUGGGGCGACCACGGAGUACAACCAAACCUCCGCAAUGGACGGGACCACUCCCUUAUCUAAGAGCCACACCUCUAAGAAUUAAAACACUAACAUAAAAUGAUCCAUGAUCUGAUCAAUGAACCAAGUUACCCUGGGGAUAACAGCGCAAUCCAUUUCAAGAGCCCUUAUCGACAAGUGGGUUUACGACCUCGAUGUUGGAUCAGGGUAUCCUAGUGGUGCAGCAGCUACUAAUGGUUCGUUUGUUCAACGAUUAAAACCCU
rnacentral:rRNA from 1 species